CCUACGGGUGGCAGCAGUGGGGAAUAUUGGACAAUGGGCGAAAGCCUGAUCCAGCCAUGCCGCGUGUGUGAAGAAGGCCUUCGGGUUGUAAAGCACUUUCAGUGGGGAAGAAAGCCUUGGGGCUAAUACCCUCGAGGAAGGACAUCACCCACAGAAGAAGCACCGGCUAACUCCGUGCCAGCAGCCGCGGUAAUACGGAGGGUGCGAGCGUUAAUCGGAAUUACUGGGCGUAAAGCGCGCGUAGGCGGUCUGAUAAGCCGGUUGUGAAAGCCCCGGGCUCAACCUGGGAACGGCAUCCGGAACUGUCAGGCUAGAGUGCAGGAGAGGAAGGUAGAAUUCCCGGUGUAGCGGUGAAAUGCGUAGAGAUCGGGAGGAAUACCAGUGGCGAAGGCGGCCUUCUGGACUGACACUGACGCUGAGGUGCGAAAGCGUGGGUAGCAAACAGGAUUAGAUACCCCGGUAGC
rnacentral:rRNA from 1 species